UACAGAGGUGCCAAGCGUUAGGCGGAAUCACUGGGCUUAAAGCGCGCGUAGGCGGAUGUUUAAGUGUCUUGUGAAAUCCCCCGGCUCAACUGGGGAACUGCACAGGAAACUAGCGGGCUUGAGUUCGGGAGAGGGAUGCGGAAUUCCAGGUGUAGCGGUGAAAUGCGCAGAUAUCGGGAGGAACACCUAUGGCGAAGGCAGCUCGCUGGGACGUUACUGACGCUGAGACGCGAAAGCGUGGGGAGCAAACAGG
rnacentral:rRNA from 1 species